rnacentral:rRNA from 1 species
CUAUUUGAGGAUUUGAUCCUGGUCCAGGACGAACGCUAGCGGCGUGCCUUAGGCAUGCAAGUGGGUCGGUCCGCAGGACCGAACUGUCAACUGUUAACAAAUUAACAAAUUGACUAAUUAAGAAUAUGAUAAGUUGUGAGAACUUUCAGGUUUCUGGAGUUUCAGGUAUAUAAAGACAGCAAAUCUUUUUACAAGAAAUGCAUAUUUAUAACAAAAAGUUUUACUAGAAACUAUUGGGAACUUAAAGACCAGCUUUUAAGAGCAGCACUUUCGGUUUGCCUUAAUAUCGCUGAAGGUUCAGCAAAGUAUUCUGACAGGGACUUCAAAAGAUUUUUAGAGAAUUCUUUGGGGUCAAUCAAUGAAUGUUUAGCCUGUCUGGAUAUUGCUAACGACAAUAAGCAAAUAUCAAAUAAGAACUUCGAGGAAUUAAAAUCUAAUGCUGAAUCCAUAGCAAAGCAACUUGGUGGUUUAGCUAAAAAACUUCGAAAUUCUUCUUAAUAGUUAAGUUGUUAAAUGUUAAUUUGUUGUAGGUUCUGUCCUGUGGACAGACGCGAACGGCUGAGUAACACGUAGGAACCUACCCAUUGGUUGGGAAUAGUCCACCGAAAGGUGGGGUAAUACCGAAUAAGUCCCGAGAGCAAUCGAGGGAGAAAGGGCAUAACUGCCCGCCGAUGGAGGGGCCUGCGGCCUAUCAGCUAGUUGGUGGGGUAACGGCCUACCAAGGCUACGACGGGUAGGGGGCGUGAGAGCGUGAUCCCCCAGAAUGGCACUGAGAUACGGGCCAUACACCUACGGGUGGCAGCAACCGGGAAUCGUGCGCAAUGGACGAAAGUCUGACGCCGCGACGCCGCGUGAAGGAUGAAGGCAUUCGUGUUGUAAACUUCUUUUGCCGUUGGGGAGACCUUACGGCGAAUAAGCACCGGCUAACUCCGUGCCAGCAGCAGCGGUAAUACGGAGGGUGCAAGCGUUGUCCGGAUUUACUGGGUGUAAAGAGUUCGUAGGCGGUUUGGAAAGUUGUUUUUCAAAGACCGAGGCUCAACCUCGGAAAGGGGGACAAUACUCCCAAACUUGAAGAGUGCAGGGGCUACUGGAACUUACGGUGUAGGAGUGAAAUCCGUUGAUAUCGUAAGGAACACCGAGGGCGAAGGCAGGUAGCUGGGCACUAUUUAACGCUGAGGAACGAAAGCCAGGGUAGCGAAAGGGAUAAAAUGUUAGUCCCCAUGGAUAGUAAUAUCCAUGCUUAAACUGACUAUAUCGGUGAAACACCUUGUAUAUUUCGGAUAUUUUUUGGUAUUCUGAAAUAUGAGGCCAACACCGAGGGAAGUUUGUUCAAAUCUUAAAUCCAGUUUCAAGUUAACACCAAAUCAAAAAGCAGUUUUGAUAGGAACUAUAUUGGGAGACGGAAAUAUUCGACUAAAAGGAAAGUUUGCUCGUUUACAUAUAAAACAUUCGGCAAAUCAACUUUUCUUUGUCAAAUAUAAAAGACGAGUAUUUUCAAAUAUUUCUACAAUGGGUGUAAGUGUAUUUACACAAAGAGUAGGCGAAGUCGACUACAAUUUUGCUGAAUUUGUUACACUUACACAUCCAAUUUUUUUAGAAUAUUAUCACCUCUUUUAUCCUAACGGUAAAAAGAGAGUUCCUCGAGAAAUAGAGAAAUUGCUUUUGGAUCCUUUGAGUUUGGCAAUGUGGAUUAUGGAUGAUGGCUCAGCAGAGUAUGCAGGACUAUCUAUCCAAACCCAUUCUUUUGAGCCAAAUGAAGUUUCACUUUUAAGGGAAACGAUUCAAAGGAAUUUUGGAAUUGAAACAGGAGAAAGGAAGAAUAAAGGUAAAAUAAUUAUUUAUUUUCCGAAACAUACAAUGCCAAGUCUUAGAAAUUUGAUAGGCAAACAUAUACUUUCCGAAUUAAAAUAUAAACUAUUACCUUAUUCAGAAAGAAUAAACCCCGUAGAGACUGUACGUCGGGAUCCGCCAAAGGCGGAUUAUGAUACAGUCCGAUCUGCAUAGUAAUAUGUAGAGCUUUACAGAAAUGUUAAAGCCACCCGCCUUAGGCGGGGAGUAACAAAUUGUAGAGACCCCUGUAGUCCUGGCCGUAAACUAUGCUCGCUAGCGAUUUGUCCCGCAAAGGAUAUAUCCUUUGCGAACAAUUAACAGUUAAUAAUUUAACCAAUUGACAAUUUUUUCUAGAUUCUGUUAAGAGUUAAUUUUGUUAUUUUGUUGAUAGUUGCAAAAAACGAUAUGUUUUUUGCGGGAUGAGUCGCGCAAGCUAACGCGUGAAGCGAGCCACCUGGGGAGUACGGCCGCAAGGCUAAAACUCAAAGGAAUUGACGGGGACCCGCACAACCAGUGGAGCAUGUGGUUUAAUUCGAGACGAACCGAAGAACCUUACCUAGGUUUGACAUGCUAUCGUUUUAUUCCGAUAGAAAUAUUGGGAGAUCCUUCGAAAGUUGGAUGAUAGCACAGGUGUUGCAUGGCUGUCGUCAGCUCGUGCCGUGGGGUGUUCCCUUCAGUGGGGUAACGAGCGCAACCCCUGCCGUAUGUUAGAUUAUCCAUACGGGACCGCCCGAGUCAUUCUCGGGAGGAAGGUGGGGACGACGUCAAGUCAGCAUGGCCCUUAUACCUAGGGCUACACACAUGCUACAAUGAAGCCGACAAUGGGUUGCCAAGUCGAAAGGCGGAGCUAAUCCCAUCAAACGGCUUCUCAGUAGGGAUUGGGGGCUGCAAUUCGCCCUCAUGAACGCGGAAUUGGUAGUAAUCGCAAAUCAGCUAUGUUGCGGUGAAUACGUUCUCGGGUCUUGUACAAAAUAAAUUGCGCCUUCCGGUCAUAAUUUUU